GUGCUCGGUUUGGCAGCACAUACAUUAAAACUGGAAUGAUACAGAGAAGAUUGCAUGGCCCCUGUGUGAGGAUGACAUGAAAACCUGUGAAGCAUUCCACAUUUAA